CUGGUGUAGAACAGGAUCUCUGGAGGCUGUUUGCAACUGUGGUCACAAAAUUCAAUGUUCUGGGAGAAUUGGAAGCAGCUCCAUUUUUUGGGGCCCCUUACACAGCUCUAGGUCUGGGCCCCGGGGCCUGACGGUGAGUAUGCCCAUAAGGCCCACUCAUAAGUUCCACCCACCCAUGAGUUCACUCACAGGGAGUGGAGUGUGUAGGGGAUGUGUUAUGUGUUAUUGUAGAGGAUCUAAU